rnacentral:rRNA from 1 species
UGGGGAAUAUUGCACAAUGGGCGCAAGCCUGAUGCAGCGACGCCGCGUGAGGGAUGUCGGUCUUCGGGUUGUAAACCUCUUUCGCUAGGGAAGAAGCCACUUGUGGUGACGGUACCU